CCUACGGGUGGCAGCAGUGGGGAAUAUUGCACAAUGGGCGAAACCCUGAUGCAGCGACGCCGCGUGAGUGAGGAAGUAUUUCGGUAUGUAAAGCUCUAUCAGCAGGGAAGAAAAUGACGGUACCUGACUAAGAAGCCCCGGCUAACUACGUGCCAGCAGCCGCGGUCAUACGUCGGGGGCAAGCGUUAUCCGGAUUUACUGGGUGUAAAGGGAGCGUGGACGGCUAAUCAAGUCAGAAGGGAAAACCCAGGGCUCAACCUUGGGAGUGCUUUUGAAACUGGGUAGCUAGAGUGCAGGAGAGGUAAGCGGAAUGCCUAGUGUAGCGGUGAAAUGCGUAGAUAUUGGGAGGAACACCAGUGGCGAAGGCGGCUUACUGGACUGUAACUGACGGUGAGGCUCGAAAGCGUGGGGAGCAAACAGGAUUAGAUACCCGAGUAGUC
rnacentral:rRNA from 1 species